rnacentral:rRNA from 1 species
GAUUAACGCUGGCGGUGCACAUAAGACAUGCAAGUCGAACGGGAAUCGUUAUUAAUGGAAAUAAGAUUUAUCUGAAAUAAGUUAAUAACAAUGAUUUUAGUGGCGGACUGGUGAGUAACACGUAAGCAACCUGCCUAUUAGAGGGGAAUAACAGUGAGAAAUCAUUGCUAAUACCGCAUAAGCUGACAGUAUCGCAUGAUAAAGUCAGAAAAGGAGAAAUCCGCUAAUAGAUGGGCUUGCGUCCGAUUAGCUAGUUGGUGGGGUAAAGGCCUACCAAGGCAACGAUCGGUAGCCGAGCUGAGAGGCUCAACGGCCACAUUGGGACUGAGAUACGGCCCAG